GACGAACCGUGCGAACGUUAUUCGGAAUCACUGGGCUUAAAGCGCGUGUAGGCGGAAGGGCACGUCCGUACCUGAAAUCCCACGGCUCAACCGUGGAACUGCUGGGUAUACUGGUUGUCUUGAGCCAGCUAGGGGCGAGCGGAACAGACGGUGGAGCGGUGAAAUGCGUAGAUAUCACUUGGAACGCCAAAGGUGAAAACAGUCUGCUGGGAACUUGCUGACGCUGAGACACGAAAGCCAGGGGAGCGAACGGG
rnacentral:rRNA from 1 species